rnacentral:lncRNA from 1 species
AUGACUGCCACCAUCCGCCGGCAGGUUACUGCCCCAGGCGUGCAGCCGCCGGGGUAAAGGCUGUUUUUUUGUAGAUUUUCAGAGCUUUUUGC